rnacentral:rRNA from 1 species
AUUGAACGCUGGCGGCAGGCCUAACACAUGCAAGUCGAGCGGCAGCGGGAAAGUAGCUUGCUACUUUUGCCGGCGAGCGGCGGACGGGUGAGUAAUGCCUGGGAAAUUGCCCAGUCGAGGGGGAUAACAGUUGGAAACGACUGCUAAUACCGCAUACGCCCUACGGGGGAAAGCAGGGGACCUUCGGGCCUUGCGCGAUUGGAUAUGCCCAGGUGGGAUUAGCUAGUUGGUGAGGUAAUGGCUCACCAAGGCGACGAUCCCUAGCUGGUCUGAGACGAUGAUCAGCCACACUGGAACGGAGACACGGUACAGACUCCUACGGGAGGCAGCAGUGGGGAAUAUUGCACAAUGGGGGAAACCCUGAUGCAGCCAUGCCGCGUGUGGGAAGAAGGCCUUCGGGUUGUAAAGCACUUUCAGCGAGGAGGAAAGGUCAGUAGCUAAUACCUGCUGGCUGUGACGUUACUCGCAGAAGAAGCACCGGCUAACUCCGUGCCAGCAGCCGCAGUAAAAC